GCAAUAGCUCAAUGGCAGAGCAUCUGCCUUGCAAGCAGGAGGUCCCAGACUCAGUACCUGUUAUCUCCA